UACGGAGGGUGCGGGCGUUGUUCGGAAUCACUGGGCGUAAAGCGCGUGUAGGCGGCCCACUAAGUCUGAUGUGAAAGCCCGAGGCUCACCCUCGGAAGUGCAUUGGAAACUGGUGGACUCGAGUCCCGGAGAGGAGAGUGGAAUUCCUGGUGUAGCGGUGAAAUGCGUAGAUAUCAGGAGGAACACCGGUGGCGAAGGCGGCUCUCUGGACGGUGACUGACGCUGAGACGCGAAAGCGUGGGGAGCAAACAGG
rnacentral:rRNA from 1 species